rnacentral:rRNA from 1 species
CAUUGGCCUAUUACAUGGCAAGUUGAGCGCUGAAGGUUGGUACUUGUACCGACUGGAUGAGCAGCGAACGGGUGAGUAACGCGUGGGGAAUCUGCCUUUGAGCGGGGGACAACAUUUGGAAACGAAUGCUAAUACCGCAUAACAACUUUAAACACAAGUUUUAAGUUUGAAAGAUGCAAUUGCAUCACUCAAAGAUGAUCCCGCGUUGUAUUAGCUAGUUGGUGAGGUAAAGGCUCACCAAGGCGAUGAUACAUAGCCGACCUGAGAGGGUGAUCGGCCACAUUGGGACUGAGACACGGCCCAAACUCCUACGGGAGGCAGCAGUAGGGAAUCUUCGGCAAUGGACGAAAGUCUGACCGAGCAACGCCGCGUGAGUGAAGAAGGUUUUCGGAUCGUAAAACUCUGUUGGUAGAGAAGAACGUUGGUGAGAGUGGAAAGCUCAUCAAGUGACGGUAACUACCCAGAAAGGGACGGCUAACUACGUGCCAGCAGCCGCGGUAAUACGUAGGUCCCGAGCGUUGUCCGGAUUUAUUGGGCGUAAAGCGAGCGCAGGUGGUUUAUUAAGUCUGGUGUAAAAGGCAGUGGCUCAACCAUUGUAUGCAUUGGAAACUGGUAGACUUGAGUGCAGGAGAGGAGAGUGGAAUUCCAUGUGUAGCGGUGAAAUGCGUAGAUAUAUGGAGGAACACCGGUGGCGAAAGCGGCUCUCUGGCCUGUAACUGACACUGAGGCUCGAAAGCGUGGGGAGCAAACAGGAUUAGAUACCCUGGUAGUCCACGCCGUAAACGAUGAGUGCUAGAU